rnacentral:rRNA from 1 species
GACGAACGCUGGCGGCGUGCUUAACACAUGCAAGUCGAACGGAAAGGCCCUGCUUGCCGGGUACUCGAGUGGCGAACGGGUGAGUAACACGUGGGUGAUCUGCCCUGCACUUCGGGAUAAGCUUGGGAAACUGGGUCUAAUACCGGAUAGGAGCCAUCUUUAGUGUGGUGGUUGGAAAGUUUUUUCGGUGUAGGAUGAGCUCGCGGCCUAUCAGCUUGUUGGUGGGGUAAUGGCCUACCAAGGCGGCGACGGGUAGCCGGCCUGAGAGGGUGUACGGCCACAUUGGGACUGAGAUACGGCCCAGACUCCUACGGGAGGCAGCAGUGGGGAAUAUUGCACAAUGGGCGCAAGCCUGAUGCAGCGACGCCGCGUGGGGGAUGAAGGCCUUCGGGUUGUAAACUCCUGUCGCUAGGGACGAAGCUUUUUUGUGACGGUACCUAGAUAAGAAGCACCGGCUAACUACGUG